AAAUCAUGGUGAGGGCACUUUCUAAACAUCUCCUUGAAUCUUUCCCAACUAUCAUAAAUAGAUUCUCCUUUUGACUAAGUAAAAUAAGUAAUGUGAUUCCUAAGCUU